CCUCCGUGGCCGACGCAGAAAGGCACCUGUUUCGUAAACAGGUACAUGUGGGUGCGAAACCCACCGGAGGCUCCA
rnacentral:tRNA from 1 species